rnacentral:rRNA from 1 species
AGGCGACGACGGGUAGCCGGCCUGAGAGGGCGACCGGCCACACUGGGACUGAGACACGGCCCAGACUCCUACGGGAGGCAGCAGUGGGGAAUAUUGCGCAAUGGGCGAAAGCCUGACGCAGCGACGCCGCGUGAGGGAUGACGGCCUUCGGGUUGUAAACCUCUUUCAGCAGGGACGAAGCGCAAGUGACGGUACCUGCAGAAGAAGCACCGGCCAACUACGUGCCAGCAGCCGCGGUAAUACGUAGGGUGCGAGCGUUGUCCGGAAUUAUUGGGCGUAAAGAGCUCGUAGGCGGUUUGUCGCGUCGGACGUGAAAACUCGGGGCUCAACU